rnacentral:rRNA from 1 species
GACGAACGCUGGCGGCGUGCUUAACACAUGCAAGUCGAACGGAAAGGCCCUGCUUGCAGGGUACUCGAGUGGCGAACGGGUGAGUAACACGUGGGUGAUCUGCCCUGCACUUCGGGAUAAGCCUGGGAAACUGGGUCUAAUACCGGAUAGGAGCCAUUUUUAGUGUGAUGGUUGGAAAGUUUUUUCGGUGUAGGAUGAGCUCGCGGCCUAUCAGCUUGUUGGUGGGGUAAUGGCCUACCAAGGCGGCGACGGGUAGCCGGCCUGAGAGGGUGGACGGCCACAUUGGGACUGAGAUACGGCCCAGACGCCUACGGGAGGCAGCAGUGGGGAAUAUUGCACAAUGGGCGCAAGCCUGAUGCAGCGACGCCGCGGGGGGGAGGACGGCCUUCGGGUUGUAAACUCCUUUCGCUAGGGACGAAGCUUUUUGUGACGGUACCUAGAUAAGAAGCACCGGCUAACUACGUG